GACGAACGCUGGCGGCGUGCCUAAUACAUGCAAGUUGAGCGCUGAAGGUUGGUACUUGUACCAACUGGAUGAGCAGCGAACGGGUGAGUAACGCGUGGGGAAUCUGCCUUUGAGCGGGGGACAACAUUUGGAAACGAAUGCUAAUACCGCAUAAAAACUUUAAACACAAGUUUUAAGUUUGAAAGAUGCAAUUGCAUCACUCAAAGAUGAUCCCGCGUUGUAUUAGCUAGUUGGUGAGGUAAAGGCUCACCAAGGCGAUGAUACAUAGCCGACCCGAGAGGGUGAUCGGCCACAUUGGGACUGAGACACGGCCCAAACUCCUACGGGAGGCAGCAGUAGGGAAUCUUCGGCGAUGGACGAAAGUCGGACCGAGCAACGCCGCGUGAGUGAAGAAGGUUUUCGGAUCGUAAAACUCUGUUGGUAGAGAAGAACGUUGGUGAGAGUGGAAAGCUCAUCAAGUGACGGUAACUACCCAGAAAGGGACGGAUAACUACGUG
rnacentral:rRNA from 1 species